ACGGGUGAGUAACGCGUGAGUAACCUGCCUCUAAGAGGGGAAUAACGUUCUGAAAAGAUCGCUAAUACCGCAUAACAUAUUGAAGCCGCAUGACUUUGAUAUCAAAGAUUUAUCGCUUAGAGAUGGACUCGCGUCCGAUUAGCUUGUUGGCGGGGUAACGGCCCACCAAGGCGACGAUCGGUAGCCGGACUGAGAGGUUGAACGGCCACAUUGGGACUGAGACACGGCCCAGACUCCUACGGGAGGCAGCAGUGGGGGAUAUUGCGCAAUGGGGGCAACCCUGACGCAGCAACGCCGCGUGAAGGAUGAAGGUUUUCGGAUUGUAAACUUCUUUUGUUAGGGACGAAAUUUGACGGUACCUAACGAAUAAGCUCCGGCUAACUACGUGCCAGCAGCCGCGGUAAUACGUAGGGAGCAAGCGUUGUCCGGAUUUACUGGGUGUAAAGGGUGCGUAGGCGGCCGAGUAAGUCAGAUGUGAAAUCUAUGGGCUCAACCCAUAAACUGCAUUUGAAACUACUUGGCUUGGGUGAAGUAGAGGCAGGCGGAAUUCCCUGUGUAGCGGUGAAAUGCGUAGAGAUAGGGAGGAACACCAGUGGCGAAGGCGGCCUGCUGGGCUUUAACUGACGCUGAGGCACGAAAGCGUGGGUAGCAAACAGGAUUAGAUACCCUGGUAGUCCACGCUGUAAACGAUGAUUACUAGGUGUGGGGGGACUGACCCCUUCCGUGCCGGAGUUAACACAAUAAGUAAUCCACCUGGGGAGUACGGCCGCAAGGUUGAAACUCAAAUGAAUUGACGG
rnacentral:rRNA from 1 species